rnacentral:rRNA from 1 species
AGUGAACGCUGGCGGCGUGCUUAACACAUGCAAGUCGAACGAGAAACGGAUUUAGCUUGCUAAAUUGCAGUCUAAGUGGCGCACGGGUGAGUAAUGUAUAGGUAAUAUGCCUCUUACUAAGGGAUAACAAUUGGAAACGAUUGCUAAUACCUUAUAUGCCUUUAAUACGAAAGUAUGCAAGGGAAAGAUUUAUUGGUAAGAGAUUAGCCUGUAUGGUAUCAGCUUGUUGGUGAGGUAAUGGCUCACCAAGGCUAUGACGCCUAACUGGUUUGAGAGGAUGAUCAGUCACACUGGAACUGAGACACGGUCCAGACUCCUACGGGAGGCAGCAGUGGGGAAUAUUGCACAAUGGACGAAAGUCUGAUGCAGCAACGCCGCGUGGAGGAUGACACAUUUCGGUGCGUAAACUCCUUUUAUAUAGGAAGAUAAUGACGGUACUAUAUGAAUAAGCACCGGCUAACUCCGUGCCAGCCGCCGCCGUAA